GAAAGCAUUGAAUAGUGUUAUGCUGUAUUUAAUAAUGUAUUAUAAAAUAAAGAAAAUGAUACCACUUAGAGUAAACUACAAACUCAUAAAUAUUGAUCUUAUUGAACUACCAAACUUUUGAUAAGCCUUCUACCAUUGAGUAUUAGAUGGUAAUACCUAUAUGUACCUAUAUAUACCCUAUUACCCCAUUACAGCAAAAAUAACAAAAUGAAUGACGAUAGUAUGACGAUGGUUGAAAGAAUUUUUAAUAUACCGCAUUUAGUUCACCACUGGACUGCGCACUCAUUCUUCAUAAGUGCAAAAACGUAAAUAAAAGUGCGCGAUUGCAUCAAAUCAAAUUGAUGUCUUCGGCGCCCUAUUUCUUCGAUGUAUGCUGAAAAAGUGCUCCGAAGACAUUAAAUCCGUUUGAUGCAAUCGCGCACUUUUAUUAACGUUUUCGCACUCUUGAAAACUAGUGCGAUAGUCCAGUGGUGAACUAAAUGCGCUAUAAUAAUCUCAAAUAUUUAACGAAAUAUAGGGUCACGAAGCCAUUAGCUUUCCUAAGUUUCCAAAUUCAUUCAAUAUGAAAAUAAAGCGAUUACAGCACCAAUUAAUUCCGUUCUUUUUUGUUAACAUACGUGUGAAUUCUUCUAUUUGAGUACUAUAUAUGCUUAGUAAGGGAACCGAUACCCUAGUUUUUUUUUACUGAGAAGCUACAGCAAACAUUAGUACACUGACAAAAUUCCAAUAAUUUUUUAUAUGUGCCUAAACACAUAAUAUUUUAAAAGUACAGCACUAAUUAAUAUUAUAAUACAACGUCAUACUGCGUAUACUGAUUGCUUUUAUGAUUUAUGUGUGAAGACCACAUAGUAAAAAUCUAUAGAGCUUCACACAUAAAUCAUAUAUACGGGAUGAACUAUAAUGAACAACAACGAUGACGGCGGCAUCAACAGCAGCAGCAGCUCGGAGUAACCGUCACCCGAACCUACCCGAACUACCAUUUUGCAGGCAGGGAAAAAGAAUGGUGUUUAGUUGAAGUGAUUCUGCUGGUAAAGCGAACGUGCCCAAAAAGGAUCGACAGGAAUCGAUUUCCCUUCUCGUUAGGGGGGUUUUCGAUGUCAUGGAUCCGGCGGAUCUGUCUGUUUUGGCGUCCGGUGCUGGAUCUCCAAUUUACUGAUUAGCAGCAGUGAAAACUUCAACCGGAUACGGAAUCCGAUUAUUGAGAUGAUGAAGGUGCUGCGGAAUUUGCAACGAAACCUACCUUGCACCGAAAAAUGACAAACAUGUCCGAACCUUGUCAGUACGACUAAAGUACGGAGCUUGGUACAAAGGAGGAAACGGAUGCGGUGGAAAUUACGGACGGAAUCGUGCUAUCGUUGGAUGAUCCGGUGAAGGAUGUGCUGACGGUUAUACAAGUGGUGUAGGCAAUCGGGGUGGAUACGCGUCGUUUUGGGCAAUAGGCUUGUGGAGAGAGUCUGUUUCAGAACGAAACGAAUGGAAUAUCCUCGUAAGCAUGGAACGGAUUAUUGGAAAUAUUGUUGAAAGCAAAUGAAACCAAUAAAUACCAUGAAUGCUGUGUCUA